ensembl:lncRNA
AUGGAAAGUGACAAUGACCUCUCCCAAGGGGACAGCAGGAGUGACAAGGAGCUGUCCCCAGGUGAAGACAAGACUGAAAAAGAGCUGUCCCAAUGGCUAGAACAUGAAGCUGGAGAGCUCUCCCAAUGGGAAGAACAAGAGGAUGAAGCACUCUCCCAAUGGGAAGAAUGUGAGGUUGAAGAGCUGAGAAGGAUGGCCCUGCUUGGUGGUAUGGAAGAAGAUUCAGGCUCAUCACCUGAACUGCCUGAAGUGGAGGAGAUAUCAAGGCAUCAGAAGGUUGUGGAAUGGCUGGAAGCCAAUUUCCCCAAUGAUUAUGGUGAUGAGGAGGAAGAGAAGGAAGAGAAGGAAACGAAACUGAAUCAAAGAAUGCAAUGGUGCAAGCAGAAGGUGGAGGCCCAAUGGCGAGAGCUGUUGGACUCCUUGUCACUUCUCAGUUUCAAUCUCAGUGACAAUGUGCAUUCCAAAGGGGAGCAGUGCAAAGGCCAAGAGAUGUCCCAAGGGGAAGUUGCCAUCCAGGACAACAUCUGCAAUAAACCCUUGGUAGAUAAUGAGGAACCCCUGGAGGGGCCCAGCUGCUCCAGGCAUGUGGGUGCAGAGCUGGCAGCAGAGGCAGCCCGUGCCCUGCCCUAUGGAGUCCCACGGACACCGAGCUGGCAGCUGCUACCCCGGCCGGAGCUACUGAGGAGGAGGAGCCCCCUGAGCUUCUUGCUCCAGAGGAUGGAAAGGCAGCACGUUCUCUUGUCCUCAGUGAGGUGAGGACAGCCCCAGACACAUGGAGCCUGCUCAGUGUCCUGUUCUAUACUCCAGCCUGCAGCCCGGCUCAGCUGAGCAUGAGCCAGAGCAGCAGCAGUGAGACCCUGCACACGGCUCUGCUGGAGAUGCAGGCACUGAGGCAGCAGCAGCAGGAAGAGGAUGCCCUGGAAGAAGGGAUUGCUGCAGAAAGAGAAGCAGCAAUUACAGCAAAAAGGGAAGGGAGCCCAGUGCCUGCCCCGCACGGCCCCCCCAGGACCUUGCCCCAGCUGGGAGCCCAGGCCCUCCGUGAGCAGCCGGUUGUCCCCAAGAGACGUCCCUCCCGCUUCAGGCGGGCGCUGCGGGCGCUGCGGGCGCUGUUCCGGUGGCCCUGCCUGAGGCCACAGCCGGAGGAGUAAAACAGGGCACCGAGAGCAGGGAUUGCUCCCACAGCCUCCCUCCCGGCAGGACUGCGGCUCACACGGGGCGGCCAACACCAACGGGAGCUGGGACACCAACGGGAACAGGACGAGGAGCACAAAGAAGACAAAGACAACGAAGAAGAGGAAGAAGAUGAUGAAGGAAAUGUAGAAGAUGAAGACGAAGAAGAGAACGAAGAUGAAGAAAACAAAGCUGACAAGACAAUGACGAAGAAGACAGAAGAGAAAAAAGAUGAAGAGGAAGGCAAAGAAAAAAGAUGACAGGUGAAGAAGAUGAAAAAGGCAAAGACAAAGAAAGUAGAAGUGGAAGACUGUAAAAAUACUAAGAAGAAUAGUAAAGAGAGUAAGAAUUUUAUAAAUAGACAGAAGUAGAAGAAGAAGAGCAGGAAUUAGAAUAAGGAGCAAGAAUUUUAAAAUGUGGAAGAAUAGUAUUAAAAAUAAUAAUAUGUGUUUAAAAAUUCAUUGAAGAAGAAGAUUAAUAAGAAUUCAUAUUUUUAAAUACAUAGAAGACAAGAAAAAUAGGAAGAAGAAGGACAAGAUGAAUAUUUACCCUCCCUUGAGAAAGACCUGCUCCAAUGGGAGGACAA